GGACUACAAGGGUAUCUAAUCCGGUUCGCUCCCCACGCUUUCGCGCCUCAGCGUCAGGUUGAGCCCAGCGAGCCGCCUUCGCCACUGGUGUUCCUCCGGAUCUCUACGCAUUUCACCACUACACCCGGAAUUCCACUCGCCUCUGCUCCCCUCCAGCUCGACAGUCCCCACGGCACUCGCCCAGUUGAGCCGGGCGCUUUCACCAUGGACUUUCCGAACCGCCUGCGCGCGCUUUACGCCCAAUAACUCCGGACAACGCUUGCCACCUACGUAUUACCGCGGCUGCUGGCAC
rnacentral:rRNA from 1 species